rnacentral:rRNA from 1 species
AUGUUCUCCGAAGCCGUUGCAACAGUCUCCUCAGCAGGCGAUGGUGAGACCAAGGCGCCUGCCGCCAAGACCGCGGCUGUUCCGUUUGUGCGCGAAACGCGCAGCAUCAAGAUCCCGCAUCACCGCUUUCCUCCACUCAAAAAGGUGUGGAUGGAGGUGUACACGCCGAUCGUGGAGCAGUGCAAGCUUGAAAUCCGCAUGAACCUCAAGACACGCAGUGUCGACCUCCGCACUUCACCCUCCACAUCUACCGCCGAGGGCGAUCAGAGCGGCAAUGCAAGCAAAGUCAUGCUGCAGAAAGCAGAAGACUUUGUGAAAGCCGUCAUUGCCGGCUUUGACGUGCGCGACGCCGUGGCGCUGCUGCGUAUGGACGACGUGUAUAUUGAGGGUUUCGAAAUCAAGGACGUGCGUGCCAACCUGCAGGGCGACAACUUGUCUCGCUGCAUCGGCCGGAUCAGCGGAUCGCACGGAAAGACAAAGUACACGAUCGAAAACGUUACCCGUACGCGCAUCGUAGUCGCCGACACAAAGAUCUGGAUCAUGGGCACGACACAGAACAUCCGUGUGGCACGGGACGCCAUCUGCGAUCUGAUCCGCGGUAGUCCUGCCGCGAAGGUGUACACACGCAUUCGUGCCGUCAUGAACCGUGUGAACAACGCGUUCUAG